rnacentral:rRNA from 1 species
UACGAAGGGAGCUAGCGUUGUUCGGAAUCACUGGGCGUAAAGCGCACGUAGGCGGGUUUGUCAGUCAGGGGUGAAAUCCCGGAGCUCAACUCCGGAACUGCCUUUGAUACAGCAAGUCUUGAGUUCGAGAGAGGUGGGUGGAAUUCCUAGUGUAGAGGUGAAAUUCGUAGAUAUUAGGAAGAACACCGGUGGCGAAGGCGGCCCACUGGCUCGAUACUGACGCUGAGGUGGCGAAAGCGUGGGGAGCAAACAGGG